ensembl:lncRNA
GGGGCGCUGCGGGGAAGGAGCUGUCUGGAAAGAAUGUACUGACAUAAAACCUCCGCAGCGUGAGAUAAAGCAUCUGACGCGUUUUAGUGCUUCGUAGGAAGAUAAUUUCCUUGCGGUUUCUCGCAAGAGGUGUCAGGGGCAUCCCUUGAUUCCAGAGGGCAGUGUGGCUGUAGGGGCUCGGCUUUGUUUUCUGCCCUGCCGACGACCAACCCGUCGUCAGCUGUGGUUGGUGUGUGCCGGGUGUCCCCUGGGCGUGAGGAGUGGUCCUUCAGCUGCCAGCUCUGGGCUGGGCUUCCCGAGUGCGCGCCUUUGUUUGGUUUGGUUUCUUCAGGUGAUUAAAAAAAGGGGGAACCGCUGUUCCUUUUCGGUGGUCCCAGCACAGUAUUUCAAGUUCCUCUUUGCCGAGAGAAUUCAGCGGAGUGGGUUUUGCUGGAGUUGCGAUAGAUUGGGUUAUUUGCAGAAGGGAUUCCUCAGAGGCCUUGUCUCCAUUAAGAAAUUACAUUAUUGUUUUUACCCAGCAGUACAGCUCCUGUGCAAGCGCCAGCAGCUCUGGUUUUACAGUGAAGGAACAAAAAGCCAUGAUUCUUUAUACCAAAGGAAAGAAAUUGCACUGAGUGGCUUUUUCUCCGUAUCCAGAUAAAUUUGGGUGUUCUGGCAAUGCCCACAAAGAUCAAGGAGCAGAAUAAAAUUUGUGGUGCGGCAGUCAGCAGCCCAGGUGGAGAGCUGCAUACUCCCUUGGCAAAUGAUGUUUGCAGAGCAGUGCAUGGAAGUAGAUGCUUGGCCGUGUCAUGGUAUUGGUGGCACAGGAUAAACUACACUGGCUGCAUUACUUCAGGAUUAGGAAGGAGACUUUGGGUACAGGCUGUGCAUUGAUAGGCAUUUUGCUAUUACUCGCUACACAGGUAAAAUUGUUUUUCCUGGGGAAAAGAGGUGGUUGCACUGGGAAAACUGGCUGCUUGGAGUAGUACAAUUAGCAGUGCUGGCGUGCCUGAGUUUUCAAAUGCUGAGAAGCACCAGGAAUAAACUUAUCACUGUGCUGUACCCACGUGAUGUGUAUAAUCAGCUGUGAAUUAUUUAUUUCUAUUUUAACUGCAGCUAGUCAGCAUUUCUAGACCAUAGCGAGACUCUGGUCUUGAUACACACAAAUCGCUCAGACUGAGCAGACUGAGCACACUGAUGGCAUUUUGGUGUCAGUUCCCAGAUAUUGCACAUCACUACAAAAUAUUUCAGUAGUGGCAGGAGCACUGGAAGUGCUACUUAAUGAUCAAACAGUAGGAGCAGCCCCUCUGCUGAUAAAUGCUUUUCUGUGCUGGACAGUGUGGAAACAGUGUUAAAAGAAACCAGGCCCACUUAUCCUGCCAAACAGGUUGUUGCCAUCCACAGUGGAACUGCAGCAGCUUUAAUGCAACAUCAGGGUUUAAGAAAAAUCAUAACGUAGCCAUGAAAUGAGCUGUGUGAGAGAACCAGCAGGAUGGUAUGUGUAUGGAGAGUGUACUGCUGGCGACAAGCGUAAGCCCUGGCCUUCUUGGAAAAAAUUAGUGUGCAGAGAACUGCAUAACAUUAGCGUGUGCCAGCUAGUUUACCGUGAGAAAUGUGUGCUGCUUCACUUUCAAUCUCUAUUCUUUUCACAGGGAUAUUGGAAAAGGAAAUAGAACAGCUGCUGUAAAGCCUUGCAAGUGACGUGAUUCUUGUGAACAGUUGUGAAAAAAAAAAUUAGAGCUAUUUAUGAAUGGAAAGCAUUAUACAAAUAAAAUGUAAACAGUUUGUAUGUUUGAGCUACCUUCAAGGCGUCUUCAAAGCAUUGCAUAAAGUUACUUGAAACCAUUAGGUGAAAUUUGUCUUGUCUAUUCUUUCUGAGAUUUCUGCAUAUUGAGAAGACAAAAUCAAAAUCCUCCUUGAAGAGUUUCCAGUCCAGCUCAGUUUCCCUGUAGAUAGUUCCACUGAAUUAGAUUUAGCUCUAUUAAUAAUCAUAUAUUCAAUAAGAAAUAAUAGUGUGGGAGAGACGAGAAAACAGAAGACAAAAACUGCUCUAUUUGCAAGUGGUAAGGAAAAAUGUUUUUUACUUCUUUCCUUACCGGAGAGUGUAAAUGUUCCAUUCUCUUCUAAGGCACUUAAGACACCUGAGCUACCGUAAGCCAUUACUGUGAUUAUUAGUUCAGCCCUCAAAGAAUAUAUAUUUCACAGAACAAAUAAGAUAAAUGCCUUUUACCAUAGAGUUUGCAAACUAUGCUUUUUUCACAGGUGAGAGCAAUUAGAAAAGAG